UACGUAGGGGGCAAGCGUUGUCCGGAUUUAUUGGGCGUAAAGAGCGUGUAGGCGGCUUGGCAAGUCCGCUGUGAAAACUCGAGGCUCAACCUCGAGACGUCGGUGGAAACUGCCUCGCUAGAGUCCGGAAGAGGAGAGUGGAAUUCCUGGUGUAGCGGUGAAAUGCGCAGAUAUCAGGAGGAACACCGGUGGCGAAGGCGGAUCUCUGGGCCUGUCCUGACGCUCGAGGCGCGAAAGCUAGGGGAGCAAACAGG
rnacentral:rRNA from 1 species